rnacentral:rRNA from 1 species
GAUGAACGCUGGCGGCGUGCCUAACACAUGCAAGUCGAACGAAGAGGCCCCUUCGGGGGUACUUCAGUGGCGGACGGGUGAGUAACCCGUAGGUGACCUGCCCCGAAGUGUGGAAUAACAGUCCGAAAGGAUUGCUAAUACCGCAUAUGAUCGAUGCGGUUUGAGUCUUGUCGAUUAAAGCAGCAAUGUGCUUCGGGAGGGGCCUGCGCCCCAUCAGCUAGUUGGUAGGGUAAUGGCCUACCAAGGCAACAACGGGUAGGGGGCCUGAGAGGGUGACCCCCCACAGUGGAACGGACACACGGGCCAAACACCUACGGGAGGAAGCAGUGAGGAAUAUUGCUCAAUGGGCGAAAGCCUGAAGCAGCAACGCCGCGUGCGCGAUGAAGGCCUUCGGGUCGUAAAGCGCUUUUGAGAGGGACGAGAUAGGACGGUACCUCUUGAAUAAGUCACGGCUAACUACGUGCCAGCAGCCGCCGUAAAAC